CGCCCAUCUAGCGUAUACGUUUAACAUGGCUGUUUUUCUUUGCUUCAAGUUAGAUGUUAUAUAGACUAAGUUACGCCUAUAUGUAAAAAUAUAUAAUAACUUACCAUAAAAUUUAUGUUUUACACAGACGCUUUUACUGUGCACAAUCAAAUAAACCACAUAAUGACACAUUAUAGGUCCCCUACUUGAAACCCUGCGUUCCUACAUUCCUUCAAUAUCCGCUCACUUUCUUUCUCCGUCCUGCUUUCAUCAGAAACUUCCCUCAGGACUAGGGAUGCCAAAUACUGAAAAAAUACUGAAUCGUCCCGUAUUUGAGAAUAAAAUAGCGCGUCCCGUUUUGAAUUAAUACUGGACGGGGUUUGUCCCGUAUUUUCGGAGUUGUCUUCAAUGCAGGAUCUCAUGCAAAUCAUCCCACCGGCAUUCUGUGAAGACUCGUCCUAUUCAGCCCCUGAUUGUGUAAUAUUCGCUGCUUAUCUUAUCUUAUCUUACCAACCCCAAACUUUUUAAUGGUAGUGUAUGUUUUGGGAUCUGUGGUUUAGUUUUGUAAUCCAUCAUGACGGUCAAGGGAAUGCCUGUCUACUACGACUCCUCUCCUCUCACCUGGUCCUCCUGCAGCAAGAAAUACAUCACACGCUUUCUCGAGUGAGAACACACACUCAUGUAGAGGAACAUUAAUGUGUGUCAGAUUCUGUGGUGCUCUGUAAAUGGAUCCUGCCGCUUCAAACUGGACUCGCCGAUAGACGGAGCAGUGGUGGAUCUCUGACCUGAGUUUGGAGGCAAAUAUUGUACAGUCGAGCAGAAGCGCUACAGAAUUUGCAACACGAAGCCGUGUGCCAGAAAACAUCCCUCCUUUAGAGAGAUGCAUUAACACUGUGCCUUACCACAAUGAACUCUACGAGUGGAUACCUGUUGCA